CAAAAGCGUCGCUAGGGUUCCGCACAGUUACUGUGGUCUGGUCCAAGAGCGACCGCGUGCUCGCACGUACACGGAAGGACAAAAGCCUGGGAGUU
rnacentral:sRNA from 1 species